UGCAUUUGCUGAAUAAAAAUUGGGCAGAUUAAUCCACUUGUUUUCAUCCAUCUCAGGGAACUGACGUUUUAUCCUGCAUCGCCCCCUGCUGUCGACUGAAAUUGACGUCAAACUGCCUUGCGAACGUGGGCCACGACUCACCUCUCUUCUGUGUUUGGUCACAUGACGUUCACAAAGCGACUCAUUUCGGCCUCCGGCUGGUGAUGUUUUCUCUCAAAAUGGGAUCCGCCUGCAGAUAUACAGAGGGUGAUUACUACUGGUGUGCCUGGGGAGGUGGAGGAAAGAGGGGGCAGUUUGCAGCAGGAGACCAAAUAAUAAAAUUAAGGAAACGGGAAGGAAAUGACAAAGGCUUUCCUCUGAAGCCACACAACUACAACUCUCCCUUUGUCAUCCUGUGUGGAAAAUUGGACUCACACAAACACACGCGCGCAUGAACGCUAUGUUGUUGUUGUGACUGGGAUGAAAAGUUUGGUACACAGACAUAAGAGCCGAGCGAUAAAGAAAAGAAAUGAGGGGAGGAAAGCAGUUGAUUAAGACAUGAAGAUAAUUGUAAACAUGUAAAAAAAAAAAAAAAAAAAAAAAAAACACACUUGUUGGCAGUCGUCAUUGUGACAAAUGGGUAAAUAAUGAACAUUUGAAGGCUACAAAAUGUCCAUAUAAUCAUCGAUUCGAAUAGUCACAAAUCUCAUUUGGUUGUUUUGCUGUGACUGAGUUUUUUGGGGUGGUUUUCAUACUUGUACUUUGUACAAUGAGCAGGGUAUGCAAAUACCAAUCAUCAGAAUUUGUGUGGAUGCAUUUAUAUGUACUUGAUAAAAAAAAUCAUCUAUUUAAAUAUACGUUUAGUCGACUACAGUAAAUGUGUUUGUUUUUUUGUUUUGUUUUGUUUAUUUCUUACUUUUUCCUUCAGCCUCUGCAGUAAAUGAGGCCUGUUUAUCCAACAUAGGUGGUUGUUUCAAUGUUGACUCAAACAAUCAGUACAACAAUACAAGCAACCUGCAUCAAACAAUGCAAAAGUAUUUCCCAUUGUUUGCUUUUAACCUGCCUAGAGGUCAACACUGGCUUGUCCUCCACUGUGGAGUUUGUGUAUUUCAAGCUCACUUUAAUGAGAAGUUGCUCUGAGGUCAUUAUGAUUCAGCCAUAAGGAAGAGACAAAAACAAGUAAGGAAUGUCAAAGGAAGGUCAAGGGCCACUUCAAGAAUGUCAUUGGCAUGGUUGUUAUGGCAUAUUCACACACAAGCGGCCAUACACUUUUUUUUU